GCACGGGGCAGUGUACACGGGGGCAGGGCCGCCUGAGGGGAGCGGGCAGGGCCAAGGCACCCACUCCUGCCGGUAGUGACAUGGGGUAGACAUCUGCUCUCUGCGUCUGAGCCACACGGUCCCCACUGCUGGGGCUUGCUGUUGGAAACAGACAGCCAGUUGUAUAAACAGAACUGCCAGCUGGCUCACCACCCAGUGAUGGCAGCAGGGCUGUUGGUGUUUGUGUCCAUUCCACCUGCUGCUGUGCGGGCUCCGGGGUGAAGAUGACUUGACAGUGACCCGAUGGGCAUCUUUAUAAGGUCCUUGAAUGGGCAAGAGGGCACAUGAAGUACGGCGUCCUCCACAUUCACGGCCUCUACACGGACCCCUGCGGGGUGGUGCUGGACCCAUCGGGGUAUAAAGACGUCACUCAAGACGCAGAAGUCAUGGAAGUCCUCCAGAACUUAUACCGCACCAAGUCCUUUCUGUUUGUGGGCUGUGGGGAGACCCUUCGUGAUCAGAUAUUCCAGGCCCUCUUUCUUUACUCCGUGCCGAAUAAGGUGGAUUUGGAGCACUACAUGCUUGUGCUGAAGGAGAAUGAAGACCAUUUCUUUAAGCAUCAGGCAGAUAUGCUUCUGCACGGAAUCAAAGUUGUAUCCUACGGGGACUGUUUUGACCACUUUCCAGGAUAUGUGCAAGACCUUGCCACUCAGAUC
rnacentral:sRNA from 1 species